AAGAUAAGAAUAAAAAGAACUAGCUUGUAUGUUUCUUAUAUAUACAAGCAAAUUAAUCAAAGCCAAAGAAAGAGGAGAAAUCAAGAGAGAGAGAGAUAAAAGCAUGGCAAUUAUCUCAGAUGAAGAUAUACAUCUAUCUCAGAUGGUGAGAAACUUCAUAGAAUUGGAUGAUUCUUCAUCAUCAUAUCAUCUUUCUGAUUAUUGGAGCCUUCAAGUUGAAUUCUUCGACCAAAACCCCACCACCUUUCUCUCUCUGCAGGAAAUUCUUGAGAGUGUCACAGAUUCAGAGGCGGAGAUUCUUGGGAAAAUCUUGUUUUAUUGGAGAGAAGUGAGGAAUUUGGAGGGUGAGAAGCUGAGGAAAUGGAUAGUAAGCAGAUUGAGAAUGGAUGAGUACGAAGCUUCCCUUUGUACAACUUCUUGGGUCACUACUUUUGGUCGCCCUUCAGCAUUUCGAUUCAGGGAUUGUUAUGAGUACAUUGAUGUGAUGAUGAAGAGUGGGGGUGAGAGUUUGAGGCUAAUAGUGGACACAGAUUUUAGGUCACAAUUUGAGUUGGGAAGGCCAACACAGGCCUACAAAGAACUCUCAAACUCUCUCCCUACCAUUUUUGUUGGGACUGAGGACAAACUCCACAGCAUCAUCUCCUUGCUAUGUGCAGCUGCCAAACAGUCCUUGAAAGAGAAUGGCCUUCAUGUACCUCCAUGGAGAAAAGCUUCUUACAUGCACUCCAAAUGGCUGUCUCAAAAUUGCAAAAAAUCUUCUUUCUCACCCCCUUUGCACAUGACACAUAUAGCAUAGGAAGAUUAUAUAUAUACUAUUUCUCCAAUUCUUGGAUAUGGUUUAUGAAAGAUAUAAUGAUUGUGGUUUGAUAAAGGAGUAAGAUUUUAUUGCUUUUCUUUUCCUUUAUGGCCAAAGUUUUGGGACAUUGUUUAAUUUUUGUAUUUUU